GGGACUCGAACCCGCGACCCCCGGCGUGACAGGCCGGUAUUCUAACCGACUGAACUACCGCUGCGCGUCGGCUGGGC
rnacentral:tRNA from 1 species